AAACAUUUCUGGGAGGAAAAUGUUUUUAGUUCAACCUGCUCAAUGCUUUAGUAAAUAGCUGCAGUAUUUUGACUGUACAAAGGUAGCAUAAUCAUUAGUCUCUUGAUUAGGGGCUAGUAUGAAUGGUUAAACAGAAUAUUAUCUUUUUUGAUUAUAUGAAAUUUUAAUUUAAAGAUUAUGUAAAAAUGCAUAUGUGUUUAAAAGGGACGAUAAGACCCUAUAGAAUUUUAAAGUAUUUGAGUAAGUAUUUUUUUGUUGGGGUGACAGUAAAUAAACGUUUACUUAUCUUUCAUGAAUAAAUGAUUAGAUGAUCCUUUAAUUUAGAUAAGAAGAUAAAAUUACCUUAGGGAUAACAGCAUAAUUUUUUUAAAAAGAUCAUAUUAAUAAAAAAGAUUAUGACCUCGAUGUUGAAUUAAAAUAAGAAUUUGGUGUAGAAGCUAAAUUU
rnacentral:rRNA from 1 species